CUCUUUCUGAUUAUAGAAAGUACCGCCUGCUCAAUGCUUUUGUAAAUAGCCGCAGUAUCCUGACUGUGCUAAGGUAGCAUAAUCAUUAGUCUUUUAAUUGAAGGCUGGUAUGAACGGCGAGACGAGAAAAAAGCUGUCUCUAAAAUAAUUAUUGAAUUUUAUUUUUAAGUGAAAAAGCUUAAAUUUGUUUGGGGGACGAUCAGACCCUUUGGAGCUUUAUUGUUUAACAAAUUUUUACUAGUGAGAGAUAGGAGGAUAAGUAAAACGAUUUUGUUGGGGCGACAGGAAGUAAAAAGUAACACUUCUUUUAUUAAACACACAUGAGUGAAAAAUUGAUCCUUAAGGAGAGAUUAAAAGAUUAAGUUACCCUAGGGAUAACAGCGUAAUCUUUUUGGAGAGUUCUAAUCGAUAAAAAGGUUUGCGACCUCGAUGUUGGAUUAAGAAAUUAGCAAGGUGCAGAAGUUUUGCUGGAAAGUCUGUUCGACUUU
rnacentral:rRNA from 1 species